AGUGAACGCUGGCGGUAGGCCUAACACAUGCAAGUCGAACGGCAGCACAGUAAGAGCUUGCUCUUACGGGUGGCGAGUGGCGGACGGGUGAGGAAUACAUCGGAAUCUACUUUUUCGUGGGGGAUAACGUAGGGAAACUUACGCUAAUACCGCAUACGACCUACGGGUGAAAGCAGGGGAUCUUCGGACCUUGCGCGAUUGAAUGAGCCGAUGUCGGAUUAGCUAGUUGGCGGGGUAAAGGCCCACCAAGGCGACGAUCCGUAGCUGGUCUGAGAGGAUGAUCAGCCACACUGUAACUGAGACACGGUCCAGACUCCUACGGGAGGCAGCAGUGGGGAAUAUUGGACAAGGGGCGCAAGCCUGAUCCAGCCAUACCACGUGGGUGAAGAAGGCCUUCGGGUUGUAGAGCCCUUUUGUUGGGAAAGAAAAGCAGCAGGUUAAUACCCCGCUGUUCUGACGGUACCCAAAGAAUAAGCACCGGCUAACUUCGUG
rnacentral:rRNA from 1 species